GGGCGAAUGGUUUAGUGGUAUAAUACUCCCUUAGCAUGAUUCAUUCGAAUAAUCUGGGAGUGGUCCAGGGUUCGAUUCCCUGUUCGUCCA
rfam:Fusarium poae strain 2516 chromosome FPOA_3 Chr3, whole genome shotgun sequence.